rnacentral:rRNA from 1 species
ACUCCUACGGGAGGCAGCAGUAGGGAAUCUUCCUCAAUGGCAGAAAGUCUGACCCAGCAACCACCCCCGCAGUGAUCAAGGCUUUCGGGUCGUAAAACUCAGUUUUCGGGAAGAACAAAUACUAGUUAAUAAGCUGACACCUGACGUCCAGCCGAGCAGUCCAAAA